GGACCAAGGAGUCUAGCAUGUGCGCAAGUCAUUGGGACUUUAAUGAAACCUAAAGGCAUAAUGAAAGUAAAUUAUUUGUAAAUAUUUAUAUUUACUAAAUUUAAGGGAAGAUGGAUAACAAACGUUAUCUCGCAUUCCCGGGGCGUCGCGUACUCAUUGCGAGUUGCGGCGCACCAAGAGCGUACACGCUGGGACCC
rnacentral:rRNA from 1 species